CCGUGCGCUUCCCCCCAUCCACCCCACCCUCGGUCACCGCCUGCGCUCCUGCAAGCCGUCGUCGGCCUCCGUUCAGCCGUACCCAACGCCCUUCUCCUCCGUUCUCCCUCCCUCUCCUCGCUGAUCUCUCUCCCUCUCUUCGUUCCCGUGCAGGACGCCAUGGCCAUGGACGAAAGCUCCGCUGGACCUUCCAUCAUGACUGCCAGCCUUCCUCCCGACCAGAUCACCGACGCGGCUGCUGUGGUCCGGGCUGGCCGCCAUCCUAUUUUGCGGGUUCGUGGCCACGUUUUCCUACUAGACCACGACCGCCACUUCCUGCUAGAUUAGCGGACAGGGAGAAGAAGGAAGAAGUUGCAGUAAUCAUAAGUGUGGUGAACCAGGCAGGGGACACAGGAUGAUGAGUAUGAAUCAUGAGAUAAACUUCAACUGAAAAAACAGGAUUCUGAGGUGAUAUAUACUCUCAAAGGCAUGAAGACAGGUAUGUCAUAAUACUCCAGUUAAUUACUAAAUCCCCAGAGUUGCAGAGGAGUUCUACAUUAUUUCAUUAGUGCAUUUAGAGCAUGUCAAAUGGAAGUACAAGUUAUUUAGGGGUAAAAUCAACUUCCCUCUGAAGUCUGCUGCUGGUCAGGCUCUUUUAUAUGGUGGUCUGACCUGGUCACACUCUUUCGACAGUCAAUACAUAUUUUCUCUUGGGUAAUUUGCUUCACCUAAGCUUCAGUACCACUUUCUAUCAUGUGCAUGGCCCCUUGAGUUCAUAUCUUCUAUUGGCGUCUGAAAACUAUCAUUUUUGGUCAGCUGAUAUCACUCUAUUCAUGCUAUCAAAUUUUCUUUCUCACUAUAUGGUAGUCCUUGACCUGUUUGUGGCAUCGGAGAAGGGACUUUUCCUCUUUUUUGCACUUUUAUCUUGUUUUUUUAAUAUAUUAUUUUUAGUUGUAUAUUAUAGAAGGAUUGGGCAUGGAGAUCUACGAUGGAAGCAUUUGUGUAUAUACUGUACCUCUGUAUAUCUUUCCAAAUUCCAUCUUGCCUUACCAUACAUUUUUAAAAGAACAAUUGUUUUCUGAGUCAUUGGUGUACUUAUGUUGUGUUGUCUGACCAUGUGAGUAUAUAACAAUUUGUUGGACAAAAGUAUUCUUGUGGUUUGUGCCAAGGUUGGGCACCAUCUUAUCUUAAAAUAUAAAAUGAUAACAUUGCCAAACAUUUUUAUUUUGAAGGGCCAACAAGAAAGGAUUUCUUCCGCCAACAUAACAAAGAACCCAUUGGGUGGAUGCAACACCCGAAUGCCUUUUUGACUAAGUCAUUUUAAUUAACUAAUUACAGUGGCGGAGCUAGAUGGGGAUAGCUCGAGAGGCAAAGGGCAAAAACAUAAAUUCUUGAGCGGUCCAAAGACUAAAAUAUGUUGAAUUAAGCAUCCGAAGAGAUUUUUUAUUCACAAAUUUUCUCAAGGUUGGGGGUUUAAUGUAAGUUUCUCUGCUAUUAAAACUGCAACUUUCCAUCCUGAUUAUGUCCAUGAUUAAGUUUUGGGUGUGGGCACCGGUAGGAGAUCAAGCACUCCGUCCUCUGUCACUUGCUGGCAAACGAGGUCGAGUCUGCGCGGAGCACUGGUCUCCUCCUUGCUGCCAGCGAAGCCCUCCUGUCUCCUCUGCACCAGUCUACUCCUUCAUGUCUCUCUCCCUCUCAAUCUCCUCUUUCUGUUGUUUGUUUUCUCUAUCUCACAUAGGAAAGCUCUUGAUCCACCAAAACACUGAAUCAUGUACAUAUAUUUGCUACCCUAGGAAAGAAGGAUGUAAAACUGAACUACAAACAUCUGUAGUGUAGAGCAUCCAGGAUAAAGGGUUGUGGAUGUCCCAUUGCUGCACGAACUGAACCAAGGAUGUUUAGCAACUAAUUUCUUUUUUUUGUGGCAUCAACACGAGGAUGGGAUUCAUAAUUGAGAACAUCAUGUGUUCAUAAUAUAUAUUUUGUGGUAGCAACUGAACCAAGGAUGCUCAUGGCAAGUUUAAUCGCAAUAUAAAUCAUUUGGUUUGGAAACACACCUGCUAAAAAAAUAGAUUGAUCUUUUCUUAAAAUCUUCAACCUUCUAUGUAAACCAGUUCUCCUUUGUAUCAUAUCCGAGUUCCAUCUAGAUUAUAUCUGAUUUUAGUGAUAUAUAAAUCAAAAUUGAUUUAUUCACUCUUUGGUAAGCACUUACACAUUUGAUUGUUCUGGCGUUCUGUUUUAUGUGGUUUGAUUUAUCAACCUAAUUCGGUCUUUCU